CCUACGGGAGGCAGCAGUGAGGAAUAUUGGUCAAUGGGCUUACGCCUGAACCAGCCAAGUCGCGUGAGGGAAGACUGCCCUAUGGGUUGUAAACCUCUUUUGUCAGGGAGCAAUUGGCGCUACGUGUAGCGUUAUCGAGAGUACCUGAAGAAAAAGCAUCGGCUAACUCCGUGCCAGCAGCCGCGGUAAUACGGAGGAUGCGAGCGUUAUCCGGAUUUAUUGGGUUUAAAGGGUGCGUAGGCGGAAUGCCAAGUCAGCGGGAAAAUCGCGGGGCUCAACCUCGCUCCGCCGUUGAAACUGGCGUUCUUGAGUGGGCGAGAAGUAUGCGGAAUGCGUGGUGUAGCGGUGAAAUGCAUAGAUAUCACGAAGAACUCCGAUUGCGAAGGCAGCAUACCGGCGCCCAACUGACGCUGAAGCACGAAAGCGUGGGUAUCGAACAGGAUUAGAUACCCGAGUAGUC
rnacentral:rRNA from 1 species